UCCUCCUCUUUCGGCCCCGCUUCCUGGCUCGGGAACCUCAGUCUCGCGAGCUUUUCUACCUGCGCCGGGUGGAAGCGUCUGCAGGAGGUUGCUGUAGCGAUGGUGUUGCUGACUUGUCCUUCGGGACUUGUGGGGCUGAUGUUGGGCAUGUGGCGGGUUGUCAACUCUGGACUUGCUCUCAACAGAACAGAGCCAGGCUGAGAAGUUCGAACGCGUGGACAGAACUAGGGCGAAGCCAAGCGUAGGGACUCAUGCUGUCAGCCCGAGGACUGAAGACGGGUUGGGGGUGUUUGCGUCUUUCGUGAAGACCAUGGAAGGUCGAGCCCCUCUCUCACUAAAAUCCGUUAUAGAAUCUGCGAGGCUUCUGCCGGGCAAGUGUUCCAUGGCCACGGUGAGCGGUGGGCGAUCUUAAUGUUCCACCAACGCCUUGACAGUUCCUAUUUCCCGCCGAAGCGUCCUUCCGUUAGCCUGGUAGCGCUGACCGUAAGAAGGUUCGGAGACACUGGCGGCAGCCUCCCGCUCCUCGGGGAGCUCUCGGCCUCAGGUGCCGCAAGAACGGUUUCCAGCGUCCAGUUAACGUCGCUCAGUGCGUGACACUCGCCCGAAGGCCUCGGCUCCCAGUGCAGUUCAGCCGCCUCUCCGUUCUCUUAAAUGGUCCCUCAGCUUGCCCAACUCUUGGCUCUAACCUGAAAGGGACCAAGAAAAUUAGCCUGGUCAGCUGCCAUUUGCCUGUAACGACUGCACAUGGAAAUACUGAGACGGGAGCAUCUCUUUUGAGGUCCAGGCCAGCCUAUGGUAUGUAACAGGAUUCUGCCUAUGAUCAAAGGACUUGAAUCACUAUACAUAAGUCCCUGAUAUUCUGUGACUGAUAUGGACAAAAUGUACUUUGAACCAGGGAAAAUAUUUGUUUUGGGAAGGCCAGUGAAAGCUUUUCACAGUCAGUGUUAAGAGGACACCGAAGGAUUGUGUCUAAGCGUCCUUUUCAUUGCCCACUCUAAAGGAGAAAAGAACUUUAGGAACAGCACCGGACAGAUCCUGGAAGCUCACUUAGCCUUUAGGACAGUCAUUUCAGGUGCCCAGAGCAUUCUCUGUAGAAUGUUUUUGGCCAGGGUCCAUCCAGCUCAUGCUGUAGUCUGGAAGCAUAACUGUGCUAUAUAUAGCCACACCUUCCCCAAGAGUAUUUUACAAGGAAACUACAAUUCCAAAAGAUUGUAGCCCAAAUGAGCCCUUGAUGUCCUUGAUCUUUACAAGUAAUACCUUUAUAUGUAAAAAAUUAAAAGGGCAAAGAACUGCCCCUGCUUCCUGCUAUUCAGUUUUUCUCCAGAUAACAGUGACUAUAUCACUUCCCACUUUCCAUGUGUGUGUCAGGUUAGAUUGGGGGCAGUUCCUUGGUGUGUGGCCUAUAUACUUGUACAUUUGAUUUAAUGCUGCUAUCAUCUAAAAAUGUUAUGUAGUUUUUGAACAUUGUUCAAUGAGAUGCUGAAACAUCUCAUUACUGCCAUAGAAGCUUUUAAAAAGUGACAUUUAUUCAUUUUUCCACUAGGUUUUAUGCAGUACCUUAUUUUAGAAAUAGUUUAGCAUAUGCAAAUGUGUCUAUGUCAAUACUGUAGUUGUCUUUUGAUGACUUAAAUGACUGUUUCCAGGACUCAAAUCAAUCCCAAUAUCUGUUUGAUGAAGUCUUUCAUAUAAAAUGGCAUAUGGUUUGCUUAUAACCUAUAAUGUCCUGCAGAAUAAUUUGUAUCAUCUCUGGAUUAUAUUACUAUAAUAUUUUAUAUACUUAUAUUACAAAUGCCACACCUUUUUAAAAAAGAUUUUCAUUACGUGCAUGAAUGUGUGUAUCUAUGUAUGUGUGUGUGUACCAGAAGGUUUUGGAUAACUCUAGAACCAGAGUUAUAGUUGUGAACAGCCAGAUGGGUUCUUUGUCAGAACUCUUUAACUGCUGAAACAUCUCAUUACUGCCAUAGAAGCUUUUAAAAACUGACAUUUAUUCAUUUGGUGAAGGGGGAGGCUGUGCUGCAACAUAGUGUGGAAGUCAGUUCUGGAAAUCAGAGUCAGGCUGUCAGUCUUGGUGGCAAGCACAUUUACUCAUAGAAACAUUUCUCCUGCCUGACACAGAUAUUUUUGCAGGGAAAAAAAAAAAACCAAACCAAACCAAACAAAAAACCCUCCCCUAAGCCAUAUGAAUUUGGUAGAAUGCAUGUAUAUAAUAUGUAUGUAUAUAUAUGCUGUUAUUGUUUCCACUUCUCUGAGGAUCAGACCUUCUCUGAAUGGUCUGUAUGAUUCUAUGAGGCUGUAUGUCUCUGCUGGUCUUCAGAAUAUGGCAGAAUCCUGCAGAAGUAGACUCCAGUGAAGGAAUGGACUUGCCAGUGAGAUCAAGAGUAGGAACAAGCAGGCAAAGAGACCAAACUUCUUUCUUCCAUGUCCUUUACAUAGGCUGCCAGCAGAAGGUGUGGCCCAGAUUAAAGGUGAUCUUCCCAAUUCAAAUGAUUUCAUUAGGGAAAAAAAAAUCCCUGUGUACCCAGGUCACUGUCUUAGUUGGGGGUUUAUUGCUGUGAAGAAACACCAUGACCAUGACAACUCUUGGGGAAAACAUUCAUUGGGGCUGGCUUAUAGCUUAGAAGUUCAGUCCAUUAUCAACAGGCAGGAAGCCUGGGCACACAAGUAUACAUGGUGCUGGAAAGGAGCUGAGAGUUCUACAUCUUGAUCUACUUGUUUUGUUAAGUGGUUUAGGUGGUCAUCUGAAAGUGUUUUUGUUUUUCUCUGAUAUACCUUUUAAUUUCAUAACAUUGAUAAGACCACCAGAAGUGCUGAAUAAUACUGGUGCUUGUUUUGUUCUUGACUUUGACAGCCAUGCCUUUAGUGUUAUGUUUGUAAUACUUAAAAGAUUUAUUUAUGUGUAUAUCAAUGUGCAUUCAGGAUCCUGGUGAGUAGAAGUGGAUGUUGGAUGCCUUCAAACUAUAGUUUACUGGUGGUUGAUAUAAACUAUCACUCUAAGCCACCAUGUGGGUGCUGAGAACCCAGCCUAACUGCUGAGCCGUCUCUAGCCCAUUUCUAAUUUUUGACUGAUAUUUGCCAAAUUAUGGACAUUGUAUAUAUUGAAUUUUGUAAGUCACUUCUCUGGGAACUGGUGAUAUGUUUUCCCCUCAAUAUUUUUAUUAUUUUAUAUUUUAUGAUAAUUACCUACAUAUUUUAUACUUUUUGUUUUUUUGCAUCAUUUUCUAGUUUAUGAAUUCUUGGGAAUUACGGUAAUUUUUAUAGGCACAAUUUAAAAAUAUUAAUAGGCAACUGCUAAUAUAGUUUUCAUGAAACAUGGUGUUUUUCAGUAUUCCCAGCACAUGUAGAAUAAAGUUCAGUCUUAAUUCUAAACUGCUUUACUGUAUACUCUUACUUUCAUUUGCUUAUGAAACAACUACUACUCAACAGUCUGCCUCUCUCCUGUCAUCAUCAUUCAUUAAAGCCAGGCUUACCUACUGACCUCUAUAUAUUAAGAAGCAAUUCAAAUUCCACUGUUUAGAAAGUUACACUGUUUUUUUUUUUUUCUAGUUAAUAGCCUGCUUUCUCUACCCAACUUGGUAUUUUUAGAAAGAUUAGGUUGUACUAUGUUACCCAGACAAGGGUUAAAUAUCUGGGUUUAAGAGAUUCUUCUGCUUUAGCCUCCUAAGGAGCUUGGGGAUUGCAGGUGCCUGCCAGCAUGAUCAACUCUUAUUACUAUAAAAUGACUUUGUGUGUGAAUGUGCAGAGGUCACAAUUAAACCUCAGAUAGCAUUUCGAGAUAGGGCCUCUUCACUGGCUUGGAAUUUGGCCAGUGAGCCCCAAGGUUCCACCUGUCUUCAUCUCCCUGGUAUUGGGAUUACAAAUUCAAGCCACCAUGUUUGGAUUUUUUAACACGUGUUCUGGAUAUUAAACUCUGUCACACCCAUAAUAAAAAUACAUGGUUAUUCAUUUAUUAUGUGUACAUGCAUAUAUAUGUCCCAUGACAUACGUGUGGAGAUCAGGACUUGUGUGAGUCAAUACUCUCCUCAUAUUAUGUGGGUCUCUCAGAUCAAACUAAGGCUUGACGGCAAGUGCCUUUACCCACAGAAGCAUCUUGCUGGCCCAACUUUUUUUUUUUGAAAACUUUUUUUAAAAAGCAUUUAUUGUACAUGUUUACACUCUCUUGAAGUAUGUAUGAAGUCAGAGGACAACUCAGGGAAGUCAGUUCUUUUCUUCCAUUACAUGGGCCUAGGAAUUGAACUUAGACUGUCAAGACUUGGUGGCAAGUAUCUAUCUCUGUUGAGCCAUCUUAUUAGCCCCUACCAUGACUUUAAAAAACAUCAGAGCCAUGAUGCAUAUAAGCAACUCCCAACAUUUGAGAGGUAGAGGCAGAAAGACAGCUCCAAGUUAGGUCAGCCUGUUUUAUAGUACACUCCAGGGAAGUUAUAGUUACAAGAACCCUUUGCUAGAGUGCCUAUCAACUUAAUUAGUAACUAUAUUAAUAUAAACAAUAAGUUUCCAAAGGAAACAAAGUACAACAUACUGUAGCACUAUGCUCAUAAAAGGCUGGUUUUUUAUUUAUUUUUGUUUGAUAAUGUGUGUGUGUAUGUGUGUGUUAUGUUUUGCCAAGGCCUAUUAACAUUUUCCAAUUGAAAAGGAAAGAGUCACAAGAUUCACCAUUGGGUUGGGAAUUUAUUUUGAGGUAUCUUAAUGUCUCUUGCCCAUUGUUCCCAUACAUAGACCCAAUAAAUUCACUUGUUGGUGAACUUGAUUUGGAUUGACUACUUUGGUUCAUAGAUACCCUGUCUCUGGGGUGGAUAGAUUUCGAGAAGUCAUGCAAAAACUGCUUUCUAUCACAGCCAUCUAUAUGUUGGUUGAUACUUUCACUUUUAUUUAGCUAGUUUUCCACUGAUAGCAGAUCUAUUAUCUUUACAACCUUCAGGCUAAAGUUAGCAGUGUAACUGCUUCCUCCUCUUUCAACUUUAUAUUCUACUUCCCUGUGAGAUAAUCAAGCAGAACUGUUUGAGCUUUUGUUGACUUCUAAGACUUGCUGUCAGUUAAGUGUAGGGAUAGGAUUUGUCUGUGAAACAAACUCAUGGCUGUGAUACAUCUUCACUUUUACAGUGCUUUUUAAUCCCCUGACAAUGGGUCUUUUAUAUUUUCUUUCCCAUUUCUAUGGCCUGUCAUCUUAUUGUCAAUUUUCAUGAGAAAGCAUUUGUCAAAGCCUGUUAAACUGUUCAUGAUUUUCUUUCCUUGGAAAUAAGUAAGCAUAUGCUUGCCUGAUGAAAUGUUUUGAAAAUAUUACCUGCUAUCUUUACUUGUUAUAUUCUCAAUACAAAACAAAAGAUUAAGCUUUGUAAAAUUGGUUUCUAAAAUGAAUUAUUUUUGCUUCUGGGGUGAAGACCUCUAUCUGCAAUUCUCUUUCUCAAAAUGUCUUUACAUUUGCUUCCUCUAAUUUAUUCAGGUCUCCUUUUAAAUAUCUAUUCAUUGAAGUGGCUCUGUAUCAUUUCAUUUGAAAGAACAAUUUAUCAUUUGUCCUGGUUGGGGUGGUGGGUUUUUUUUUUUAUUCGUCAACUUAUGUAAGCCAGGAUCAUCAUUAAGUGAGAAAAUGCUUCCAACUGAUUAGCCUAUAGUCAAGUCUAUGGGGGGCAUUUUACUGAUUAAUGCUUGAUAUGCAAGGGCCCAGUUCACUGGGUAUGGUACUAGUACAAUCCCUGGAGAGGUGAUCCUGGAUGGUAUAAGAAAAUAGGCUGAGGAAGGCAUGGGGAGCAAGCUAGUAAACAAAUCCUUUCCUCCCGAAGGGCAGAUCAAUUUUACCCAAUUUACCCUUACCCAAAUGCCUUUCUAAUUUAAAGUAUCUGCUACUAUGUCAUGUGUUACAUACUUGUUUACUAAGCAUGUUAGAACUUUAGCUCUGCUUGCUGACAUCACUGCACAUUUCAUAGUGCUUAGUUCAUAGUAAAUGUUGAAUGAAUGAAUUCAGUUUGGCUAAGUAAGCUGAAUGAGACAGCUACUGAUGUUCAUGCUUCUUAGAUCUAGAAAAUUAAGAUGUUUAGGAAGGGAAGGAAAAUAGUCACAUAAAACCCAUAAUUUGAGUAAGGAAGAUGGCUUGGCGGGGAAAGGUGCUUGUUGUAAGUUUGAUGACCUGAAUUCAUUUCUUGGGACCCCAAAGUGGAAGGAGAAACCCAACUCCUGUAAGUUGUACUGAUUCCCACACAUGCACAGUAGUUUGUAAGUAUACAAAAUAAAUAAAUGUAAAAAAAAAUUGAACACUAAUUUAAUUAUGUCAAAAUAAAGGUUAUAAAGGAA